UCAUUGCUCAAAUACACAGCUCCUCUCGUUUUAGGGUUUGAACAUGAAUCUGCGCCGCUACUCCCUUCAUCAUCCCUCGUUCCUUUUCUCCCAGCCCAAACCUUCAUCCGUCUUCUGCCCUUUUCUCUGUCCUCUGCCCUUUUCUCAUCCGGCUGUUUAGCGGCGAUAAGCCAUAGGCGCCCAUUGUCUCCCUCUCAAUCACUCACACGACGCAUACACAACAACCAUUGCCGGCGAGAAGCCACGGUCGUCGAUUCUCUCCGUCUUCUGUCUUCCUCUACCUCGCCCUCUAUUUCCCUCGACCUCUGGUUUUGCGACCAACCGCCGUCCAAAAGCCUAGAUCCCCAAACCACCAACUCCGCACUCACAUCUACGCAUUGACGCCGCUCCACGCAGCGUCACCUCCCUCAUCGGCGAAAAUGAAUGCGCCGCCGCCUCCCUCUGCACGCCCGUAUCCGGCCGCCGCUGUCCGGGUUUCAAACGACGGCGUCACCCAGGCCCUGAGCUCCAGAUCUCGGCCCCCUCCCUCUGACCAAUUCUAUCGAUUUUUUUCAGAUCUACUAAGUGUUUUAGUAGACCUAUACAAAACAGGUUCGAGAUGCCAAGAUAAAGGUCCUCUCCAACCUAAAACGAACUACUGAUGAGGAACGUUCUGAGUGGAAAAAGUUAUCAUCCAAGCUAAAGAUCUGAGAGUUUACACUUCCAUGCUCCAUUGACAUCAAGUUUUCAUCUUCAAAAAAAAUUCAGAAAUAUUAGCUAUUGAUAUUGCAGAUUUAGUCUUUGUGUAAAGUAAAAAUAAGUGUUGUAAUAAUUGCUUAGUAUCUUAUUAUAAUUGAGACAAA